CAAAAAUAUAUACAUUUUAUAGGCGGAGCAGCAUAUAGACACUGGGUGCCUGGGUCAAGAGAACCCUUACACCUGACCUUUCAGAUCUAGCUUUUAGGAGUACUGAUAUGGUCAGGUGAUCUGGAGCCGAUAUUGCUGUUUCCUGCUUCCCAAUGAGCUAUGAAGAAACACAGUAAGUAAAUAAUGACCACGGAAUCCCAGCCUGAUGAGACGGAGAGCAAUCAAGUUGCUGUUGUCCCCGGUCCUCAGUAGAGAAAGGCUCCCUGGAAUAUUUGGUUUUGUUUGUUAAUGAUUUAUUUUGAUAAUUAAAUGCACUUUGGUGCUGUUUGUAUGCGUCACCCCUGUGGCUGCUACACUCUUCUUCUUCUUUUUACCAUAUUGAGGUGAAGCAAAUACAGGAAAUACUUUUUCAGUCUUUAAAAAGAUUCGUAUUUUUUGUCUACAUCUUUAACACUAGCCUUUGUUUGUGUACUCUCAAGAAAUCCUACACAGCCUGUCCAUACGUCUUGUAUCGUUUUGCUUUCUUACCUCCAGAAGAAACAUCUCUCGCUUCUUGAUAAU